rnacentral:rRNA from 1 species
UACAGAGGUCCCAAGCGUUGUUCGGAUUCACUGGGCGUAAAGGGUGCGUAGGUGGUGAGGUAAGUCGGAUGUGGAAAUCUCCAACGCUCAACUUGGAAACUGCAUUGGAAACUACCUUGCUAGAGGAUUUGAGGGGGGAUUGGAAUACUUGGUGUAGCAGUGAAAUGCGUAGAUAUCAAGUGGAACACCCAGUGGCGAAGGCGAAUCCCUGGAAAAUACCUGACACUGAGGCACGAAAGCUAGGGGAGCAAACAGG